GGAAUGGGCUUUGCAUCUUGCAGAGGGAUUUCUGCCAGAGGAAAUAGCAGAGGCUGAGAAGGCUGUUGUGGAAGAACAUACCUCCUUGGACUGACUUCUCAACAUACAUUACAGCCAACAUGUAACUAGGACCAGACCAUGUCAAACACUUCUCUGAGCAAAGUGGCUGAGUUUACUUCUGCGUGGGUUCCAAGGCAACAGUGUGAUCAACAAUGAGUUCUUCCCUGUCUCUGUUUUUGGCUUGUCUGGGUGCUGAAGUCCACGGCAAUACACAAUAACAUGAGCAUUUACGGUAAGCAGGUGCCUGAGUAAAAAGGAUGGGAUCUCCAAGUCUCAGCUGUCAGGGUUUAUCCUGGCCCGUUUUACUUCGCUAUUCUGGUCAUCCAGAUGGCAGAAACCUUCUGUACUGAUGUCUCUUUUUUCAUCCUCGAUGGGUUCUACAGGGAAAUUCUGGUCUGUGGCCAGGACCUGUCGGACAGUCAUGUUAACACGAGCGGUCUUCAAGUAGCUGGCACACACCUGCCAGUCCUCCAUAGAACAAGGCUCUACCAUUGAAUCUCUCGGGAGGACAGCAGGGAGAGGUGCCUCUAGGCAGUGAGGCAGGCCUUCCCCUUCUGGAUUUGGAAGGACACGAGGGACUGCGUGGUUCAAGAGGCGGCUGAAACCCGACAUUAU
rnacentral:lncRNA from 1 species